rnacentral:rRNA from 1 species
GUCCUUUCGUUUUUUUUGGAAGGUCUGGCCUGCCCAGUGAAUUAAAUUUAACGGCCGCGGUAUAUUGACCGUGCAAAGGUAGCAUAAUCAUUAGUCUUUUAAUAGGAGGCUGGUAUGAAAGGUUUAACGAAACAUAAACUGUCUUAUUUAUAAAUUUAUAAUUUAACUUUUAAGUUAAAAGGCUUAAAUAUUUUUGGAGGACGAGAAGACCCUAUAGAGCUUUACAUUAUAUUGUUUUUAAUAUUUCUUUGUUUAAUAAUUUAGUAUUAAUUUUAAUAUUGUUUUGUUGGGGUGACAAGAAAUAUAUAUUUAACUUUUAUCAUUUAAUUUACAUUAAUUUAUGUUUUAUUGGAUCCAAUAUUAUUGAUCAUUAGAUUAAGUUACCUUAGGGAUAACAGCGUAAUCUUCUUUCAGAGUUCAAAUUUACAAGAAGGCUUGCGACCUCGAUGUUGGAUUAAGAUAAUAGUUAGGUGCAGUAGCUUAAUUAAUAGGUCUGUUCGACCUUUAAAUUCUU